UACGUAGGGUGCGAGCGUUAAUCGGAAUUACUGGGCGUAAAGCGUGCGCAGGCGGUUUGUUAGGCCAGAUGUGAAAGCCCCGGGCUCAACCUGGGAACUGCGUUUGGGACUGGCAAGCUAGAGUACGGCAGAGGGGGGUGGAAUUCCACGUGUAGCAGUGAAAUGCGUAGAUAUGUGGAGGAACACCGAUGGCGAAGGCAGCCCCCUGGGCCGAUACUGACGCUCAGGCACGAAAGCGUGGGGAGCAAACAGG
rnacentral:rRNA from 1 species